rnacentral:rRNA from 1 species
UACGUAGGGUGCAAGCGUUGCCCGGAUUUAUUGGGCGUAAAGAGCGUGUAGGCGGCUUGUUAAGUCUUGCGUGAAAUCUCGGGGCUCAACCCCGAGCGGUCGUGAGAAACUGGCAGGCUAGAGUCCGGAAGAGGCGAGUGGAAUUCCUGGUGUAGCGGUGAAAUGCGCAGAUAUCAGGAGGAACACCAAUGGCGAAGGCAGCUCGCUGGGACGUGACUGACGCUGAGACGCGAAAGCGUGGGGAGCAAACAGG